rnacentral:rRNA from 1 species
AGAGUUUGAUCCUGGCUCAGAUUGAACGCUGGCGGCAGGCCUAACACAUGCAAGUCGAGCGGUAACACAGGGAGCUUGCUCCUGGGUGACGAGCGGCGGACGGGUGAGUAAUGUCUGGGAAACUGCCUGAUGGAGGGGGAUAACUACUGGAAACGGUAGCUAAUACCGCAUAAUGUCGCAAGACCAAAGAGGGGGGCCUUCGGGCCUCUUGCCAUCAGAUGUGCCCAGAUGGGAUUAGCUAGUAGGUGAGGUAACGGCUCACCUAGGCGACGAUCCCUAGCUGGUCUGAGAGGAUGAUCAGCCACACUGGGACUGAGACGCGGCCCAGACUCCUACGGGAGGCAGCAGUGGGGAAUAUUGCACAAUGGGCGCAAGCCUGAUGCAGCCAUGCCGCGUGUAUGAAGAAGGCCUUCGGGUUGUAAAGUACUUUCAGCGAGGAGGAAGGCGUUGUGGAUAAUAACCGCAGCGAUUGACGUUACUCGCAGAAGAAGCACCGGCUAACUCCGUGCCAGCCGCCGCGGUAAUUC